GUGACAAGUUCCUCUUUCUUUUCUUGCCAGCCUCUCUUUGGAGCAUUUAUUUAGUUGGGAACGUCGGCCCCUGAAAUGGUGCUCCCCACGUUCCAUGUCAGGUGUUGCUACCAGGGCUGCUUGGGAGAGCAGAAAGACAUCCUGGAGACUGUUGCAAGAGCUUCACCUACUCUCAAGACUUCAAUCAACCCCCUGACUAGCUUGGAGGUGGACUGUGGAAAGCUGAAAACCCAGCCCCUGGCCAGUCACUCAGACCUCAAGAAAUAGCUGCCAUGGAGAAAAAAAAAUGUCUGCCGGCUCCUCAGUCACUUUCCAAGGUGACACUAACCCAGGGCAUCUGCACAGCAGCUCCUUCAUCAGGUUGUCACCCCUUCCCUUGGAACUGGCGAGCUGGAGGAUGGAGGUGGCCGCGCAACUUUCCAGGGAAUUUGUUCAGGGACUUUCAUGUCACUGGUCUCUGUGAGAAACCAGAAAUGGUUUUCCCAUUUCAUUCAUAGAUAAAAUGGGAAGUGAGCAGCCAGAUGAGCAAUCUGGGGGUUGUUCAUUUUGUCCCGAUAGGACUCUAUCCUCACACCUCUUCCGGUAUCCCGCAGAAUCCCAGGAGUGGUCUUCCUCACCAGCACCCGCCACCUGGGAAUCGGUGAGCUCUUCGGAGGACAAGCAAUGGUCUCAACUCCCAGAGGCUGCCUGUACUUCCUAAUCAUGGGUAUGAACUCAUACUGUGAUAUGUUGCCUCCCUCACAGGCUCCCGAGCACUGUGUCCAACUAGUCACCACCUCUAAAACUGAGCCCACAGGAACCUUACCUCUUUAUACAUUGAUUACCUCAUUCGGCUUUGUCAUAGUAAUGGAAAGCUAACUUUUGCUUAGGAAUGAAAAUAUUCUGGAGAUGAAGUUGUGAUGAUUAUGUGACAUUGUUGAAAAUUGUUGGGGCUGGAGAGAUGGCUCAUCAGUUAAGAGCACUGACUGCUCUUCUGAAGGUCCUGAGUUUAAAUCCCAGCAACCACACGGUGGCUCACAACCAUCUGUAAUGAGAUCUGAUGCCCUCUUCUGGGGUGUCUGAAGACAGCUACAGUGUACAUAUAACAAAUAAAU